UGCAGGCAGUCACGAGGUGCCUUCAC
rnacentral:piRNA from 1 species